AGCACAAAAGUAAUGACGAUUAGCUCUGAUAGAUCUCACCUAUAAUAGUACACAGUCAGAAUGAUAUAUCUAUUAUUCAUGCAUCAUUUGCUUAAUUUCGACGACAUACGUGCGUCCAGUUUGCAUGAAGCGCUGUAAUUCAAGAGACAUUUAACGCCAGAGAGAGACAUUCACGAUUGUUAUUAACAUAACGUUGAAAUCCUCUCGAUUAUGUGGUAUGCGGAGGCAUGGGCGUGCUCCGAUAGCUUGCGUGUUCCGUCGUGUGGCAAUGAUAAUAAUACGACAUACAAUAAGACGUCAGCCGACGUUUUAAUGAGAGAAAAACGACGGAGCGCGGGAGCUCGUUACCGACGUACACCACCCCAUAAAGAACGGCCAGGGCGGUGAGGAAUGGGCCGACGCGUACAUAGCUUUUGGUAGAAACCGUUCGUUACCGUCCGCAAACGUGUCCGUGUGCAAAAUCACACAUGAGCUUACCAAGUAUAUUCGGCAACGUUUCGCCUUGUCGCAAUAUAAAUGCCAGACAUCGAGAGUUUUAGUGAGAAUAACGCGAUCGACGGUGCACCACUUUAACAUGAUCCGUGACGGAUCGUGCGAUAGGUGCUAACAUCGAGGUAGCCAUUCAAUAAAUAUUUACUCUGGCACGUGAAGCACGGCAAUUAAGCGACGCGUAAUGAAACCGCCAAUUUCCUAUACACUGAAACAACGUUGACAAUUAGUCCAGCUUUUAUUCGAUGGAGAAUUGUGACUCCAAGUUUUAUUACGCGUACCAUUGACGGACGCAAACGCACGACCACGCAUCAACGGGUUUCACUGAUCGUUUGUCGGCACGGGUGCAAUAAAUUCUGCUUAAUUACAUGCGAUAAGUAAUUAAAGUGAUUAAAGCUUAUAAUGUGACACGCGCGCAAUCAGUAAUGCGAGUAUAAUCAGGAUUUCGAUUCGACGAUAUCUCUGUGCCUCAACGACGGACACUUUAUAACGAUAGCUUUCCGUUUCGUGCUUUUAACGAGUAUCUAUUCUCGCGAAUAUCUACUCUCGUUCGGGUUUUAGCGUUUUUGCAACAAAUGAAAAUUUCAUGUCGAUGGAAAUUCCAUUCACUGGUAUUACUGAUAUCCACUAAUAAUUUCGUUCAUUUAUGCCAAUGCCAAUUAAUAAUUUAUUAGAUUACAUUCCGUAUUUCGCAAAAGCAUAUCGAGGGUACUGCAAGCAGUGCAAGAAAAAGAAACAAUUCCAUUCUAUUACGAAUCCAUCCGAAUUACGUAGGAUUAUGUAAAUUCCGAAAAUUUUCUGUUUCUCAUUAAUCAUAAAGAAUAAAGAAUCGAGCAUCUAAUGCUUCUACAAGUUAACGAUGCACGAAGAAGAUACUGUAGCAGGGGAUCUAUAAUAAAAUAAAAAUUGUUCAACUGUAGACAUGAGAAACUGCGAGACACGUGAGAUGCACUAUCGAACGACGACGACACGUAGACUGAAGUCUGUUCGGACAACUAACCGGCUUCGACAGCAAGACGUUUUUAUCGCAAAUUUCAACCAACUCCGACGGCGAUGUUGUCGUCGCCGUCGGCAUCGUCCUCGUCUUUUUUGUCUUCUUUGUCGUCGUCAUCAUCGUCGUUGUCGUCGUCGUCGACGUCGUUGUCGUCGUUGCCGUCGUCGUAGCAGGUAGCUAGUACGUGCGUGCAUCCACGAUGAGGGACGUGCGCUCGCUGAAUAAUGCCGAGAAUUCGGGGAAGAAGGAAAUGAAGGUUAGUCGACGGUAAGGGCGUGCGAGACGCGGCAGACGGAGUGAAAGAAGGGGGUAAGAGGCGAAUAAUAAAACGCCGAGCUAUAAAGAACGGAAAGAAAGAGAAGAAGGGAGAGGAGUCACGUGGCCGUCGAAGAAGCAGCCGGUGUCUCAAUGAAUUCCCUCGAGCAGCCUCGUUAAAACAGUUCCUUGACGAUGCUGGCACCAACACCAACAACUAUGCCGCCAUUCUCGUCUUCUUCUACUUCUUCGUCAUCUUCGUCAUCGUCGCGGUUUACGUGAUUUUAAACGAAAACGUAGAAAGUAUAUUGCAGCUGUACGCUGAUCGACCACGACUUUCAAGGAACCUUCGAAAAAUCGCGACGAUAACCAGCCGAGGUGUUACAAAUGCCGGACGUGCUGCGGUUUAACCGCCUUCUCCCCGAUACCCUCUUUCCCUCGAGUGCCGCCAAACUGCUCUCCGCCUUUCGACCGGAAUCCACCCACCUACCGCCCCUAUAUUUACCGUCGCAAUAAAUUUCAGGUCAGAUUUCAGGCGAGCGAGAGUCGAUGCGAGAGAAGGCUACGCGAAAUUCGCGUACGCGCGCCGAUUCCAUCGCUUCUUUAUUGAGAGCCAGUAAACAAGUUAAACCAGAUUAGAAGCGGGCUGCCUCGUAACUGGUGUUUUCUGCGUCUAUUCCUAACCCUCCAAUCCUAGCCCUUUCCUCGCGGCCAUUCUUCUUUUCUAUGGCCAGUGACGAGGAGGAAAGAUCGUGACGAUAGAAUCAAAGGAAGAGGAAAGGACAAACAAAAGUGCAGAGAGCCAGAGGACACUGCGUUUCAUCUUGUCGAGUGGGACUCUUAGUUUCAUUCCUUUUGCUCGAGUCUCAAGCGAGUUUCGGCCCUCGUGUAAACAACUUGGUGAACUGAGCGUAUUAUCCGGUCUGCGACGAUGGAUAUUGUCUUUACCUAUGAAUCCCAUUUCCGUUCCGGAAGCGCUUAAUCAGACUUUUCUUCACGAAACGUAUCUACAAGUGGUUUCUUCAUUUCGCGAGAUUAUCUCGUUCAUGGUAGCGCGUGUUGCGGUGUAACGCGAUUGCUUUUAAAAGUUCACCGUCUCGCAAAUCAGAGUUGAGCCAGGUUAAUAAGGAGAAUUCGCAGAAAACAGGUAGAUGUCUGAUUCAGAAUCGCAACCCGCAAUUUAUCAUAAUCAUCGCAUUUAAUUCCAAUUACACGAUAUUGCGUGGUCUUGAAAUGGUAUAUAUGGUAUUCGAAAGGCAAGUACGCGUAGUUCCAAGUCACGAAAGCAUCCGUGUCGGGAUCGAGCAAAUUAUACGCGAGGGUGAGGGCGUAGCGAGAGUUGAAAAUUUUCUAUCAGCCUUAUACGCAAACGAUUUCCCGAAUAACGUUUCUGGGAAAUUGCCCGACGCUAAACGCGCAUUACGAUUAGCAGACCAAUUUGCCGUGCGUUUCAAAAUUGCAAGAUAAAAGCAGAAACGCUCGUUCUUAUAACAAUGAGUUGUCGGCACGCAACAAUUCGCAUCGCGAAGGAUCAGCACGCGGAAUCGUCGCGUCGCGUCACGUCGCGUCGCGUUGCAAACUAUCGACCAUCGAACGCACGUCUAUCCACGUGAAUCGUUCAUAAACGUACAUUUCAUGCACUGCAUUAACAAUUAAGUCAGUUUGACAUUUUAUCCAACACUUUACGAGAUUCUUAGAGUGUCGCUUAUACAAUGUGUUGAAAGUUUUGCGUCUGAUUCGUUGCGAACCAUGUCAGCGUAGCAAUCUCGUGAGCUCACAGCUAUGAUCAAGUAUGACGUAAACGUUGAAACCCCCGUGAUUACACUAAUAGUGGUUAGGCUAUUAAACUGUAUCCCUAAGAUAAUUUAUCGCAGCAGAUAAUACGAUACGCCGAUUACGUCGAUUUCGCUGUUUAUUCCCGUUAAUUUAAAGGCUCGCGAUGCCCAAAAAGCUAGCGAUACCUUUUCCAAAGCAUCCCGCAUAUGCCCGCUCGUACAUACGCGUGUAUACAUAGACGUGCAUAUAUACGCCCGUACGAACAAUGCUUCGAUUCAGGAACGUAUAACAUCGUCGUGCCUUACGGCAACGGUCGUAUAACGUCGGUGAAUGACGGGCAUUCGAGCGAAUGGGACCAAUCAGACUGAUUGGCCGACCGGUAUUUACAUUUCUGCGGGCGAGCUUGCCGCUCGAGGCCGGUUGCGUCGGGAGACUCGGAGAGAAUGCGGGGCAGACGCGACGCCGCCGCCGGUGCAACUGUGCAAAUCCCCGUCGGUGCAUCUCGACGAUGAUGCGGGGACCAUGGAGCCCGAAUGCUUGUCGAGCGCGUUGUUCGAUUCAUAGCUGGGAGCAGCGAAUCAUUCCACGUUGUGUCCUCGUCGAUCCUCGUCUGUCUGCUUGAUAAUCGAUUAGCAUCCACUUAACGUGGAAGAAACGUAGAUAUUGCCGAAAUAUGGUAUAAAGUAUCGUUAUCUAAGGAGAAUAUAUCACGCGUAAUCCGUGAGAAUCAUCUUUAUUUUGCAAUCAGAAAUUCGACGUAUCGUGCGAAAGACGGUAUUAUCCUCCAAUUAAAAUCUUCUCCAGCAAAUGCAUUUCAACUCACACACGGGAAGAAUACAGCCGGUAAUUAUCGCACUCGGCUUUGGUCGACCAGCCGAUGCUCGACAACGCGGACACGUUUUAUCUCGUGUCGAGGUGGACAGGCCUGAGGCGAAACACGCGAGAGGAACGUUUACGAUACUCGAGGCACCGAUGUAUUCUCCGUUCUGAGAGUUAAUUGCGCCCUUGCGAGCUCACGCGAGAGGCGUCUGGGUACAUCGGCUUCUGCGAGCCUGAGGGAUGCGCGCGCGCGCACGCGCGUGUCUUCAUCGCGAUCGGCCGGUCGGCUCGAUGCCUUGAACGGGCAUCGGGUUACCGAUACUUGAGCGGAGUCACAUAAUUUCGACGAUGAUGUCGCCGGGAUACGGCCGUUCUCUCACCGAGCGGAGCUAAUUAAUAACCGCGAGUAACAAGGAGCAGAUGGAGCGGUAGAAACUCCAGAGGAACCAGACCCCUGGGCCACGCUUGGCAGGCCACGAUCAGCCUGGCUCAGCCAGCUUCGCUUGGCCCUGUUUGCUGGCUGACACCGAUACACACCCACGCACCUACCAAUUAUACCACACGCACGUGUGGUCCGGAUGGUCGCGUGCAUGCUAUUAGCGAAAAGGAGUGUCUACCUCCUUGUCUGUCCCCGGUGCGAAACAACUGUCUUUCCUUUCUACCUCGUGCUUCAUCCUCGACGCCUCGACGAUUUCGUGGUACGCCGGCUAUUCCAAACGAAGGAGAUGAAUGAAAGGCUUCCGGGGUUGAUCGCGAGCUUAGGGAUCCGAGCGAGUACUUCCGGCUUGUAGGUGAGACGCUACCAGAUGAGUGCACUGAAUAUGUAACACGUUAACGGUAAAAGUGUCAAGAUUAUCUUAAUAACGUAGCGUGUACUUUGACUAUAGAAAUAUGGACUGCCAGUAGCCAACUUCAGGUUAGUAUCCAAGAUGUGUUGCGCCGCCAUCGACCAAGUGAGGUGUUUAGGAACUAAAAUGUAUGACAUAUAGCAAUUGCUGCGGAAAGUGUUAAGUGUAGAUCAACAGUGUUAAACGUAAAAGAAAAUAUAAUAGAAGUGAGUACAAUAAACAAUGGUGGCGUAUUGUUAUGUUGAAGGGUGCAAGACAACUAAAUAUAAAAAUAAAAUAGAAAACAACAAAGCUCUACCUAUGUACGGGUUUCCCAGUAAUGUGAUGCUACGGGAAAAGUGGAUAAAUGCAGUAUUAAGUAAUCAAAUCAAUGCAGAAAAUCCACCGAAAUAUAGUAGAAUCUGCAUAAAACAUUUUGCAGAUGAUCAACUUGAACAAUUUGGCUUCAUGGGUGUCCGAUUAAAGAAGAAUGCUGUUCCAACACUAUUUCCUAAUGUUAAAUAACAACACGGGUACAAUGUAAUGUUAUAAUACUUGAUAUAUUAGAUAAUACGCGAAAUUCAUAUACAUCAAUACUGGCCUAUGCAAACGGAUAAAUAUGUAAUGUGCUCGAAACUUUAUCAGAAUAUCUAUAUUAAUGAAGAAAAUAUAUUGUUUAUAUAUGUAUAUAUAUUUAUUUUUAUAACCAAGCAGCAAUAACAUAUUAAUUGCUUAUGUAGAAAGGAAAUAUGUCAAAACGUAAAUGUGGAAAAACCUGUUCUGCAUUCUGAUGACAUUGGAAUUGAAGAAUCCAUUUCAGAACACAUUGAAGAUUCCAAUCACAUAACUGAAAAAAAAGGAGAAGCGCAAAGGGAGAAGCUUAAUUCCAAUGAAAUGGAAUCAAGUACUUGUCCCUCUGAAGAGAAUAGCGAUUGUACUUGUACCGUGGAAACAAUGCUUACAGAUAUCAAUGAAGGAAUCAACUCAACAUUCUUUUCCAGUGUAGAAAAAAAACGAGAAAGCCAUACUGAACAAAUAAUCAGAAACUGUAAAAAAAACUAUUAGAUAUCCUGGAGAUUUGAGUAAUACCGAAUUGACUAACAUGUCCACAGAGGAAUUGAUAAACAUUAUAAAAAUGUUGAAAAGGAAUUCAGCGAAAAAAGAUAAAAUUAUUAAACGUUUACGAACUCAACACUAUCGCAAGAGAAACAGAAUUCAAAGUAUGAAACAGUUAAUAGAUGAAUUAACAAAAGAAUGUAAUCUAUCCUCAAAUGCCUCCGAAGUAUUAAAGGUAAGAUAAAGUCAUUUUAUAACAUUAAUAAAAAAAGGGAAGACGGACAAGUUGAUACAUGUUGCAAAACGUUUGUGAAACUAAUGGAAAAGUAGAACAUGCUAGACCAAUAAAACCAUUAAAAUUGCAAACAUGAAGUAAAUCUGUUGAAAAUCACUCCAAGAAUUAUAGCGUAAAUAUGUAAAAAACUACGGGGAAUUGAAUUUAGGUAUGCUCCACUUUCCCUUAUCUGUUUCAUAAAACCUAAUUAAUUGGCAGUUAUGUGUGCUGACCUAUGCCUAUAGAAAUACUUCUACAGUUAAAGGUAAUGGUUAACACUUUGAUCAUGUAUUACACAGAAGAUGUUAUAUAUUAUAUGUUAUAUAUUCAGAACCAGUUAUAUAUACAGAUCAUGUAUUCACAAAAUCGUUUAUAUAUUGUAGAAAUAAAUAAAUGGUGUAUGCCAUAUGAUGAAGUUAUGUAAUAAAGAUAUUUGUAAU